UUACGACCACAUCGCGUUGAAACACCGGUUCCCGUACGAUCACCGAAGUUAAGCAACAACGAGCCUGGUCAGUACCUAGAUGGGUGACCAUUUGGGAAUAUCAGGUGCUGUAAG